UUUUUGUAUGAUGUUUUUAUGUUUGAAUUCAUAUUCUUACACUUGUUAUUGUUUAUUUCAUGUGUCAUUCUUUCAUGAAUUGAUGAGCAUAAAAGCAAAAUCAAUGAUCCUUUGCCAAAGUCACCUAGAUUGGUAAUAAUGGUUUCAUUAAGGUAAGUUAAUAUUUUGGAUUAUCACAAAAUCUACUGAUGAUCUCUCUGCUACUUUAUUUUUUAUUUUAUUUUUUUGAUUUUUUUUUUUUGAUAAGAUCUCUGCUACUUUAUUGAUCAUUUGGAUUAUAAGGUAAGUUAGCUUUCCAUUAAGUUUUCUUAUCCGACUCCAUCUAAGUAAUUGAUUGCUAACUAUUCAUUUUUUCUGGUCAUUUUGGUUUUAAUCAACACUUCUUCAUGCAUUCUAUUCAACCAUCACUAUGUCAUUUGUUAGACACAAUAUUUGCAAAGUUUUGUUCUGUCAAAGACAGGUUGGUAUGCUUAUUGAGCAAGCUUCAAGGACGCCACUGGCACCGUUCAGGAAAAACCACUCCAGCCUUUCUUAUCGAUUGUUAAGUCAAUGAUCCUCAUUGGUGGAGUGGAAGUAAAAACUGGCAUGAAGAAAAUUGAGGAACAAGGAGCAAACAUCUUGAUCAGCUGGCCUGGUCGAUUGCACGACAUGAUGAAUUGGACGGAUGUUUUGGAUUUCAAAAGUUGAGGUUGCUGAAGAGCUUGAUAAAACAGGAUUGAGGAACAAACAAAAACAACAAAUGGGCAAUGACAUGCAACAUCAAAACAAAGAGUCUUCAAAGACACAUUUGGUUCUUCACAUUGAGGAAUGGUAGAGAUUAGGAUGCUAACUGAUUAUGCAAGUGAAGAGCCUAAUUUGUGCCAAUGGAUGCAAGAGGAUAAAGAACUGUCUACUCAUGUCCAUGAUCUUUACUACGAGAUUUGGAGAUAUUGAUAAAGAGCUUUAUUUGGUCAGGGGAUAUCACUCAAAGGAAGCUGGUAGUUGUUAGUUGGAAGAACGUGUGCAAGCCUUUUAAUCAUGGUGGUUGUGGCCACAGGUCUUUAUUUACUCUCAACGAGGCCUCAAAUUUAAAGCUUUGUUGAGACAUGUUACAUUAAUAGGAACAUUGGGCUAUAUUACUGAGAAGCAAGGUCUGUAGAGAUAAAUAAUGCAUCAAUCACCACAUUUUUUCAUCCUUAUGGAGUAGCUUCAAGUCGGAGUUCUAGCUUUUUACUAUAAAUUUCUGGAAUGAGAGAUGGUGUGAUAAACAUUCUUUGGCUCAAACAUUACACAUACCUGUCAAUCUUCAUCAGUUUCUUU